UACGAAGGGGGCUAGCGUUGCUCGGAAUUACUGGGCGUAAAGGGCGCGUAGGCGGACAUUUAAGUUAGAGGUGAAAGCCCAGGGCUCAACCCUGGAACAGCCUUUAAUACUGGAUGUCUUGAGUUCGGGAGAGGUGAGUGGAACUCCGAGUGUAGAGGUGAAAUUCGUAGAUAAUUCGGAAGAACACCAGUGGCGAAGGCGACUCACUGGCCCGAUACUGACGCUGGAGGCGCGAAAGCGUGGGGAGCAAACAGG
rnacentral:rRNA from 1 species